GAUGAACGCUAGCGGCGGGCUUAACACAUGCAAGUCGAGGGGUAUAGUUAGCUUGCUAACUAGAGACCGGCGCACGGGUGCGUAACGCGUAUGCAAUCUACCUUUUACAGAGGGAUAGCCCAGAGAAAUUUGGAUUAAUACCUCAUAGUAUUUUCGAAUGGCAUCAUUUGAUUAUUAAAGUUCUAACGGUAAAAGAUGAGCAUGAGGCCUAUUAGCUAGAUGGUAAGGUAACGGCUUACCAUGGCAACGAUAGGUAGGGGUCCUGAGAGGGAGAUCCCCCACACUGGUACUGAGACACGGACCAGACUCCUACGGGAGGCAGCAGUGAGGAAUAUUGGACAAUGGGCGCAAGCCUGAUCCAGCCAUGCCGCGUGCAGGAAGAAGCAUCUAUGGUGUGUAAACUGCUUUUGUACGGGAAGAAACACUCCCUCGUGAGGGAGCUUGACGGUACCGUAAGAAUAAGGAUCGGCUAACUCCGUGCCAGCCGCCGCGGUAAUAC
rnacentral:rRNA from 1 species